rnacentral:rRNA from 1 species
GAUGAACGCUGGCGGCGUGCCUAAUACAUGCAAGUCGAGCGAACAGACGAGGAGCUUGCUCCUCUGACGUUAGCGGCGGACGGGUGAGUAACACGUGGAUAACCUACCUAUAAGACUGGGAUAACUUCGGGAAACCGGAGCUAAUACCGGAUAAUAUAUUGAACCGCAUGGUUCAAUAGUGAAAGACGGUUUUGCUGUCACUUAUAGAUGGAUCCGCGCCGCAUUAGCUAGUUGGUAAGGUAACGGCUUACCAAGGCAACGAUGCGUAGCCGACCUGAGAGGGUGAUCGGCCACACUGGAACUGAGACCGGGCCCAGACUCCUAGGGGAGGCAGGAGUAGGGAAUCUUCCGCAAUGGGCGAAAGCCUGCCGGAGCAACGCCGCGUGAGUGAUGAAGGUCUUCGGAUCGUAAAACUCUGUUAUUAGGGAAGAAAAAAUGUGUAAGUAACUAUCCACGUCUUGACGGUACCUAUUCAGAAAGCCACGGCUAACUACGU